AGAAGUAAAGUCUGAGGCUACCCUCACAUUUGGUAGAGAGGCACAAGAGCACAACAUAUGAAGCAACAUGCUGCUCUCUGACAGCUUCCACUUCAGCAGACGAGGAGAGAGACUUCUCUAGUGCUCCGGAAGCCAACUUAACAGAGACUGUUCUACUGAAAGCUUUCUGAAAUCAUUCUUGAAAUACGAUGCAUAAUCUCUUGAGAUUAAAGCAAUGGCAAAAUUCAAAUGGCAGCGGUUCUUGCACUUCUGUCAUUUGCUGACGGACCAGAAGAAUGUGAACCUGCCCAUCUGAUUUCGGUAGGCUUUUCCUAAUUUUGUAAGGUAAUUUGUCACUUUGUUAAGGCAUCCAACAUGCAGCCCUUCCUUAGGACUAAGGGAGUUACCACCAUGGCAUAGAGGGAGUAGGCAAAACAAACAAAGGGGCAGUUGUUCACAGGGAACGGACUCAAUGGCCUACAGGCACAAAAUCUUUCAGAGUUAUGACUCUGUUAUUGC
rnacentral:lncRNA from 1 species